rnacentral:rRNA from 1 species
UUGAUCCUGGCUCAGGAUNAACGCUGGCGGCGUGCCUAACACAUGCAAGUCGAACGGGGUAGAAAUACCUAGUGGCGGACGGGUGAGUAACGCGUGAGAAUCUGCCUUCAGGAUGGGGACAACAGCGGGAAACGGCUGCUAAUACCCAAUAGGCUGAAAAGUGAAAGAUUUAUCGCCUGAAGAGGAGCUCGCGUCUGAUUAGCUAGUUGGUAGGGUAAAAGCCUACCAAGGCGACGAUCAGUAGCUGGUCUGAGAGGAUGAGCAGCCACACUGGGACUGAGACACGGCCCAGACUCCUACGGGAGGCAGCAGUGGGGAAUUUUCCGCAAUGGGCGAAAGCCUGACGGAGCAACGCCGCGUGAGGGAGGAAGGCCCUUGGGUUGUAAACCUCUUUUCUGGGGGAAGAAGUAAUGACGGUACCCCAGGAAUAAGCAUCGGCUAACUCCGUGCCAGCAGCCGCGGUAAUACGGAGGAUGCAAGCGUUAUCCGGAAUCAUUGGGCGUAAAGCGUCCGCAGGUGGCUAUUCAAGUCUGCUGUCAAAGCAUGGAGCUUAACUCCAUAGAGGCAGUGGAAACUGAAAGGCUAGAGGCCGGUAGGGGUAGUGGGAAUUCCCAGUGUAGCGGUGAAAUGCGUAGAGAUUGGGAAGAACAUCGGUGGCGAAAGCGCACUACUGGGCAGGACCUGACACUGAGGGACGAAAGCUAGGGGAGCAAAAGGGAUUAGAUACCCCUGUAGUCCUAGCCGUAAACGAUGGAGACUAGGCGUAGCUUGUAUCGACCCAAGCUGUGCCGAAGCUAACGCGUUAAGUCUCCCGCCUGGGGAGUACGCACGCAAGUGUGAAACUCAAAGGAAUUGACGGGGGCCCGCACAAGCGGUGGAGUAUGUGGUUUAAUUCGAUGCAACGCGAAGAACCUUACCAGGGCUUGACAUCUGGCGAAUCUGGGGGAAACCUCGGAGUGCCUUCGGGAGCGCCAAGACAGGUGGUGCAUGGCUGUCGUCAGCUCGUGUCGUGAGAUGUUGGGUUAAGUCCCGCAACGAGCGCAACCCUCGUUUUUAGUUGCCAUCAUUAAGUUGGGCACUCUAGAGAGACUGCCGGUGACAAACCGGAGGAAGGUGGGGAUGACGUCAAGUCAGCAUGCCCCUUACGUCCUGGGCUACACACGUACUACAAUGGUCGGGACAGAGGGCAGCAAACUCGCAAGAGCAAGCGAAUCUCAUCAAACUCGGCCUCAGUUCAGAUUGCAGGCUGCAACUCGCCUGCAUGAAGGAGGAAUCGCUAGUAAUCGCCGGUCAGCAUACGGCGGUGAAUUCGUUCCCGGGCCUUGUACACACCGCCCGUCACACCAUGGGAGCUGGCCACGCCCGAAGUCGUUACCCUAACCCGAAAGGGAGGGGGAUGCCGAAGGCAGGGCUAGUGACUGGGGUGAAGUCGUAACAAGGUAGCCGUACCGGAAGGUGUGGCUGGAUCACCUCCUUUACAGGGAGACCAACACUACUGGUUAACCUAGAUUGUUUUAGGGUUAACAGUGGAGACAUCCCAGGUCGUGCAAGGGAAAAAAGUGAAAAUGGCUUUCAAACUAGAGUCGGGUUGGGGACGAGGGCUAUUAGCUCAGGUGGUUAGAGCGCGCCCCUGAUAAGGGCGAGGUCCCUGGUUCAAGUCCAGGAUGGCCCAUCUGACCCCUUAUUGUAAAAAGCGGGCAAAAUUCAGCACUGUCUUUUAAGUCAAAAAAAGAGACUGCUGGACUAUUAAUGUCCUAGCAACAGCACCUUGAAAACUGCAUAGAAAAGAAAAAGGUUAGCAAUAAUUUAGAAAUUAACC